AUUGAACGCUGGCGGCAGGCCUAACACAUUCAAGUCGAGCGAGAGGAGGACGGGUGAGUAAUGUCUGGGAAACUGCCUGAUGGAGGGGGAUAACUACUGGAAACGGUAGCUAAUACCGCAUACCAUCAGAUGUGCCCAGAGGGGAUUAGCUAGGUGGUGGGGUAAUGGCUCACCUAGGCGACGAUCCCGUGCUGGUCUGAGAGGAUGACCAGCAAAACUGGAACUGAGACACGGUCCAGACGCCUACGGGAGGCAGCAGUGGGGAAUAUUGAACAAGGGGCGCAAGCCUGAUGCAGCCAUGCCGCGUGUGUGAAGAAGGCAGUCGGGGUGGAAAGUACUUUCAGCGGGGAGGCGUUACUCGCAGAAGAAGCACCGGAUAACUCCGUGCCAGCAGCCGCGGUAAUAC
rnacentral:rRNA from 1 species